CCGCAUGUGGCGCAGAGGAUAACGCAGCAGAUUCCGAUUCUGAAGAGCAGGGGUUCAAGUCCCUUCAUGCGGGCCA
rnacentral:tRNA from 1 species